GUGCUGGCUUCAGCAGCACAUGUACUAAAAUUGGAAUGCUAAGUGAAGAUUAGCAUGGCCCCUGUGCAAGGAUGGCACACAAACUCGUGUAGCAUUCUAUAAUUUU
rfam:Myotis brandtii contig312894, whole genome shotgun sequence.